CACAUGCAAGUCGAGGGGCAGCAUGACUGGUAGCAAUACUAGUUGAUGGCGACCGGCGCAAGGGUGCGUAACGCGUGAGCAACAUCGCCCUGUUCAGGAGGACUAACCGGAGAAAUUCGGACUAAUACUCCAUAGUAUUUUGAUGAGGCAUCUCGUUAAAAUUAAAGUUUCGAUGGAACAGGAUUGGCUCGCGUGACAUUAGCUAGAUGGUAGGGUAACGGCCUACCAUGGCGACGAUGUCGUAGGGGAACUGAGAGGUUGAUCCCCCACACUGGAACUGAGACACGGUCCAGACUCCUACGGGAGGCAGCAGUGAGGAAUAUUGGACAAUGGAUGGAAAUCUGAUCCAGCCAUGCCGCGUGAAGGUCACGGCCCUAUGGGUCUUAAACUUCUUUUGUAUGAGAGCAAUAAGUGUUACGAGUAACACGAUGAGAGUAUCAUACGAAUAAGCAUCGGCUAACUCCGUG
rnacentral:rRNA from 1 species